rfam:Lactobacillus saerimneri 30a contig00017, whole genome shotgun sequence.
AGCAAACACAGGGGGAGCGUUAUGCUGAGAGUGAAGAAAUUCUGACCCUUUGAACCUGAUUCGUUAAGACGAGCGUAGGGAUGUGGUGAUGGACAUUG